AUACGUAGGGGGCGAGCGUUGUCCGGAAUUAUUGGGCGUAAAGGGUUCGCAGGCGGUCUGAUAAGUCAGAUGUGAAAGGCUAUGGCUUAACCAUAGUAAGCAUUUGAAACUGUCAGACUUGAGUUAAGGAGAGGAAAGUGGAAUUCCUAGUGUAGCGGUGAAAUGCGUAGAUAUUAGGAGGAAUACCAGUGGCGAAGGCGACUUUCUGGACUUAAACUGACGCUGAGGAACGAAAGCGUGGGGAGCAAACAGGAUUAGAUACCCUGGUAGUCCACGCCGUAAACGAUGAGUGCUAGGUGUUGGGGGUCAAACCUCGGUGCCGCAGCUAACGCAUUAAGCACUCCGCCUGGGGAGUACGUACGCAAGUAUGAAACUCAAAUGAAUUGACGGGG
rnacentral:rRNA from 1 species